AACGAUGGAAGCUUGCUUCCAGGCGUCGAGCGGCGGACGGGUGAGUAACGCGUAGGAAUCUGCCUAGUAGAGGGGGAUAGCCCGGGGAAACUCGGAUUAAUACCGCAUACGCCCUACGGGGGAAAGCAGGGGAUCUUCGGACCUUGCGCUAUUAGAUGAGCCUGCGUGAGAUUAGCUUGNUGGUGGGGUAAAGGCCUACCAAGGCCGACGAUCUCUAGCUGGUCUGAGAGGAUGAUCAGCCACACUGGAACUGAGACACGGUCCANACUCUACGGGAGGCAGCAGUCGGGAAUAUUGGACAAUGGGCGCAAGCCUGAUCCAGCCAUGCCGCGUGUGUGAA
rnacentral:rRNA from 1 species